rnacentral:rRNA from 1 species
UACGGGGGGGGCAAGCGUUGUUCGGAAUUACUGGGCGUAAAGGGCUCGUAGGUGGCCAACUAAGUCAUACGUGAAAUCCCUCGGCUUAACCGGGGAACUGCGUCUGAUACUGGAUGGCUUGAGGUUGGGAGAGGGAUGCGGAAUUCCAGGUGUAGCGGUGAAAUGCGUAGAUAUCUGGAGGAACACCGGUGGCGAAGGCGGCAUCCUGGACCAACACUGACGCUGAGUGAGCGAAAGCCAGGGGAGCAAACGGG